AUGCAGGAUCGUCAUGUGAUUGCCUAUGCAUCUCGACAGUUGCAUCCACAUGAGGAAAAUUAUCCUACACAUGAUCUAGAGCUUGCAGCCGUAGUCUAUGCACUUAAGACUUGGCGACAUUACCUUCUUGGUAACCGUUGCGAAAUCUACACUGACCAUCAGAGUCUCAAGUAUAUCUUCACCCAAUCGGAUCUGAAUCUCAGACAGAGACGUUGGUUGGAGUUGAUCUCGGAUUACGACUUAGGAAUCACCUACACCCCAGGCAAAGCCAGUGUCAUGGCUGAUGCUUUAAGUUGUAAAUCCUAUUGCAACAACCUCAUGUUGCAACAAUGUCAACCAUCCCUCCAUGAGGAAUUCUGUAAGCUUAACCUUCACAUAGCUCCUCAUGGUUCCCUUUCUACCUUGGUGGCGAAACCUACCUUUACGGAUCAGAUCAUAGAGGCUGAGAAGCAUGAUACGGGAAUCUCCCGAAUCAAGAAGAAUAUUUCCAAGGGAGUUGCCAACUGUUUCUCUAUGGAUGAACGAGGUGUUGUUUACUUUGGAAACCGUUUGGUGGUUCCCAAAUGUCAACAGAUGCAGCACCUGAUCCUUAAGGAGGCCCAUGAAUCCCCUCUCAUGAUUCAUCCCGGUAGUACAAAGAUGUAUCAGGACCUACGCCAGAGGUUCUGGUGGACUAGGAUGAAGAGAGAAAUCGCUUAG
rnacentral:rRNA from 1 species